rnacentral:SRP_RNA from 1 species
CGCUGGCCCCCGCACAACGAUACAUUGUGAACUCCGUCAGGUCCGGAAGGAAGCAGCGGCAGCAAUAGAAUCGUGUGUGCUGGUAAGGCUAGCGGGA